GGUUUGGCACCUCGAUGUCGGCUCAUCGCAUCCUGGGGCUGUAGUCGGUCCCAAGGGUUGGGCUGUUCGCCCAUUAAAGCGGUACGCGAGCUGGGUUCAGAACGUCGUGAGACAGUUCGGUCCCUAUCCGUCGCGGGCGUAGGAAAUUUGAGAGGAGCUGCCCUUAGUACGAGAGGACCGGGGUGGACGUACCUCUGGUGUAUCAGUUGUUCCGCCAGGAGCAUCGCUGAGUAGCUAUGUACGGAUGAGAUAAACGCUGAAAGCAUCUAAGUGUGAAACUCGCCUCGAGAUGAGAUUUCCCAUUCUUUAUGAAGUAAGACCCCUCAGAGAUGAUGAGGUAGAUAGGCUAGAAGUGGAAGUGCGGCGACGCAUGGAGCGGACUAGUACUAAUGGUUCGAGGACUUAACCAA
rnacentral:rRNA from 1 species